ensembl:lncRNA
CCCACCGCCACCGUCACCGCUCUGCUGCUGCUGCUGCUGCCGCCGCCCCACAUCCACGCGCUGCCGUGGGGAGAGGACCCCACAGCUCCGCUCAGAACGACGUCAAUUGGUGAGUUGGGCCCCAAAUGGCCCCAAAAUCCCCCAAAACGUCCCAAAAUGUCCCCCAAAAGUCCCAAAUAUCCCCCAAAAUGUCCCCGAAUGUCCCCAAAGUGUCCCAAAUGUCCCAAAUAUCCCACAAAAUGUCCAAAAUUGUCCCCAAAUAGUCCCAAAUAUCCCCCAAAAUGUCCCCAAAUGUCCCCAAAAGGUCCACAAAUGUCCCAAAAAUGUCCCCAAAACGUCCAAAAUAUCCACAGUUGUCCCCAAAAAUGUCCUCAAAAAUGUCCCAACUGUCCCCAAAACGACCCCAAAAUGUCCCAAAUAUCCCAAAUGUCCCCCAAAAUGUCCCAAAUAUCCCCCAAAAUGUCCCCGAAUGUCCCCAAAGUGUCCCCAAAUGUCCCAAAAAUGUCCCAAAAACGUCCAAAAUAUCCACAAUUGUCCCCAAAAAUGUCCUCAAAAGUGUCCCAACUGUCCCCAAAUGUCCCAAAAAUGUCCCAAUUGGCCCAAAAUAUCACCAAACGUCCCCCAAAAUGUCCCAAAAUGUCCCCCAAAAGUCCCAAAUAUCCCCCAAAAUGUCCCCGAAUGUCCCCAAAGUGUCCCAAAUGUCCCAAAUAUCCCACAAAAUGUCCAAAAUUGUCCCCAAAUAGUCCCAAAUAUCCCCCAAAAUGUCCCCAAAUGUCCCCAAAAGGUCCCCAAAUGUCCCAAAAAUGUCCCCAAAACGUCCAAAAUAUCCACAGUUGUCCCCAAAAAUGUCCUCAAAAAUGUCCCAACUGUCCCCAAAACGACCCCAAAAUGUCCCAAAUAUCCCAAAUGUCCCCCAAAAUGUCCCAAAUAUCCCCCAAAAUGUCCCCGAAUGUCCCCAAAGUGUCCCCAAAUGUCCCAAAAAUGUCCCAAUUGGCCCAAAAUAUCCCCAAAUGUCCCCAAGAUGUCCCAAAAUGUCCCCCAAAAAGUCCCAAAUAUCCCC